GUGCACAGCAGCUUUAUUUAUGAUAUCCAAAAACUGGAAACAAAUGUCCCUCAACAUAUGGAUGGAUAAGCAAAUACUAGAAUAUUACACAGCAAUAAAAAGAAAUAAAUGUCUGACACAUGCAACAAGACCAGUGAAUAUUAAAAAUAUGUUGCACAGAAAAAACUAGACAUAAAGGCAUACAUGCUAUAUGCUCCAUUUAUACGAGGCUCAAGGCAGGCAAAGGUUAUUUAUGGUGAUAGAAAUCCAAAUAUGGUUUCCCUUUUGAGGCAAUAUUGAUUGGAAAAAGAUAUGAAGGAACCUUCUGAAGUGCCAGAAAUGCUCCAUAUCUUGAUCCAGGUGGUGGUUACAUACUGCAUUACAUGUCAGAAUACAUCAAGCUGUAUAUUGUUUACCAUCUGUAAGUUAUACUGCAUACAAAAAUAUGGAACAAGGCUAAAUGCCCAUCAACCAAUGAGUGGAUAAAGAAAAUGUGAUAUAUAUACACCAUGGAAUACUACUCAGCCAUAAAAAGGAACAAAAUAAUGGCAUUCACAGCAACCUGGAUGGAGCUGGAGACCAUUAUACUAAGUGAAGUAACUCAAGUAUGGAAAACCAAAUAUCC
rnacentral:lncRNA from 10 species